GAUGAACGCUGGCGGCGUGCCUAAUACAUGCAAGUCGAGCGAACAGAUGAGGAGCUUGCUCCUCUGACGUUAGCGGCGGACGGGUGAGUAACACGUGGAUAACCUACCUAUAAGACUGGGAUAACUUCGGGAAACCGGAGCUAAUACCGGAUAAUAUAUUGAACCGCAUGGUUCAAUAGUGAAAGACGGUUUUGCUGUCACUUAUAGAUGGAUCCGCGCCGCAUUAGCUAGUUGGUAAGGUAACGGCUUACCAAGGCAACGAUGCGUAGCCGACCUGAGAGGGUGAUCGGCCACACUGGAACUGAGACACGGUCCAGAGUCCUACGGGAGGCAGCAGUAGGGAAUCUUCCGCAAUGGGCGAAAGCCUGACGGAGCAACGCCGCGUGAGUGAUGAAGGUCUUCGGAUCGUAAAACUCUGUUAUUAGGGAAGAACAAAUGUGUAAGUAACUAUGCACGUCUUGACGGUACCUAAUCAGAAAGCCACGGCUAACUACGUG
rnacentral:rRNA from 1 species